rnacentral:rRNA from 1 species
GAGUAACACGUGAGUAACCUGCCCUUAACUCUGGGAUAAGCCUGGGAAACUGGGUCUAAUACCGGAUAUGACUCCUCAUCGCAUGGUGGGGGGUGGAAAGCUUUAUUGUGGUUUUGGACGGACUCGCGGCCUAUCAGCUUGUUGGUGAGGUAAUGGCUCACCAAGGCGACGACGGGUAGCCGGCCUGAGAGGGUGACCGGCCACACUGGGACUGAGACACGGCCCAGACUCCUACGGGAGGCAGCAGUGGGGAAUAUUGCACAAUGGGCGCAAGCCUGAUGCAGCGACGCCGCGUGAGGGAUGACGGCCUUCGGGUUGUAAACCUCUUUCAGUAGGGAAGAAGCGAAAGUGACGGUACCUGCAGAAGAAGCGCCGGCUAACUACGUGCCAGCAGCCGCGGUAAUACGUAGGGCGCAAGCGUUAUCCGGAAUUAUUGGGCGUAAAGAGCUCGUAGGCGGUUUGUCGCGUCUGCCGUGAAAGUCCGGGGCUCAACUCCGGAUCUGCGGUGGGUACGGGCAGACUAGAGUGAUGUAGGGGAGACUGGAAUUCCUGGUGUAGCGGUGAAAUGCGCAGAUAUCAGGAGGAACACCGAUGGCGAAGGCAGGUCUCUGGGCAUUAACUGACGCUGAGGAGCGAAAGCAUGGGGAGCGAACAGGAUUAGAUACCCUGGUAGUCCAUGCCGUAAACGUUGGGCACUAGGUG